UACGGAGGGUGCAAGCGUUAAUCGGAAUUACUGGGCGUAAAGCGCACGCAGGCGGUCUGUCAAGUCGGAUGUGAGAUCCCCGGGCUCAACCUGGGAACUGCAUUCGAAACUGGCAGGCUAGAGUCUUGUAGAGGGGGGUAGAAUUCCAGGUGUAGCGGUGAAAUGCGUAGAGAUCUGGGGGAAUACCGGUGGCGAAGGCGGCCCCCUGGACAAAGACUGACGCUCAGGUGCGAAAGCGUGGGGAGCAAACAGGAUUAGAUACCCUGGUAGUCCACGCUGUAAACGAUGUCGAUUUGGAGGUUGUGCCCUUGAGGCGUGGCUUCCGGAGCUAACGCGUUAAAUCGACCGCCUGGGGAGUACGGCCGCAAGGUUAAA
rnacentral:rRNA from 1 species